rnacentral:rRNA from 1 species
GAAUUACUGGGCGUAAAGCGCACGCNGGCGGUUGNUNGANUNAGAUGUGAANUCCCCGGGCUUAACCCGGGAAUUGCNUNUGAUACUGNUCAGNNGAGUNNGUAGAGGGGGGUAGANUUCCAUGUGNAGCGGUGAAANGCGUAGAGAUGUGGAGGAAUACCGGUGGCGAAGGCGGCCCCCUGGACAAAGACUGACGCUCAGGUGCGAAAGCGUGGGGAGCAAACAGGAUUAGAUACCNUGGUAGUCCACGCNGUNAACGAUGUCGACUNGGAGGUUGUGCCCNUGAGGCGUGGCUUCCGGAGCUAACGCGUUAAGUCGACCGCCUGGGGAGUACGGCCGCAAGGUUAAAACUCAAAUGAAUUGACGGGGGCCCGCACAAGCGGUGGAGCAUGUGGUUUAAUUCGAUGCAACGCGAAGAACCUUACCUACUCUUGACAUCCAGAGAACUUUCCAGAGAUGGAUUGGUGCCUUCGGGAACUCUGAGACAGGUGCUGCAUGGCUGUCGUCAGCUCGUGUUGUGAAAUGUUGGGUUAAGUCCCGCAACGAGCGCAACCCUUAUCCUUUGUUGCCAGCGCGUGAUGGCGGGAACUCAAAGGAGACUGCCGGUGAUAAACCGGAGGAAGGUGGGGAUGACGUCAAGUCAUCAUGGCCCUUACGAGUAGGGCUACACACGUGCUACAAUGGCGUAUACAAAGGGAAGCGACCCCGCGAGGGCAAGCGGAACUCAUAAAGUACGUCGUAGUCCGGAUUGGAGUCUGCAACUCGACUCCAUGAAGUCGGAAUCGCUAGUAAUCGUAGAUCAGAAUGCUACGGUGAAUACGUUCCCGGGCCUUGUACACACCGCCCGUCACACCAUGGGAGUGGGUUGCAAAAGAAGUAGGUAGCUUAACNUCCGGGAGGGC